ACUGCUAAUACCGCAUAAGACCACAGUACCGCAUGGUACAGUGAUCAAAGGAUUUAUUCGCUGAAGGAUGGCUUCGCGUCCGAUUAGGUAGUUGGUGAGGUAACGGCCCACCAAGCCUACGAUCGGUAGCCGGACUGAGAGGUUGAUCGGCCACAUUGGGACUGAGACACGGCCCAGACUCCUACGGGAGGCAGCAU
rnacentral:rRNA from 1 species